CGGACGGGUGAGUAACGCGUGGGUAACCUGCCUUGCACUGGGAGAUAACACUUAGAAAUAGGUGCUAAUACCGCAUAAGCGCACGGUCCUGCAUGGGACAGUGUGAAAAACUCCGGUGGUGCAAGAUGGACCCGCGUCUGAUUAGCUGGUUGGCGGGGUAAAGGCCCACCAAGGCGACGAUCAGUAGCCGGCCUGAGAGGUGGACGGCCACAUUGGGACUGAGACACGGCCCAAACUCCUACGGAAGGCAGCAG
rnacentral:rRNA from 1 species